UUGAAAAUAUGAUUUAAAUAUAGAAUCUGCAUUUCUGAACGAUGGAAAACUAUGCAUUGCACUUCAGUGCAACGAGGAUGAUGCACCUUUUUACCAGCAUGACUGCACAGAUGAAUUAGGGGCCAUUUGUGGCUUUUCUGAAAUACGCAAUAAAAAGAUGAGAUGGAAAGAAUCAUUUCUAAGUUGUAAAUCUAACAUCAGUACCAGUCAGAUGGGAAAGUUUGAUUUAACAAACGCUGAGGAAGCAUGUAAAAUAAUCAACAUUACAUCAGAUGUUCCAUUAUGGAUUGGUAUUGUUCGAGAAAAAUAUCUAUCGGAAGACCAAGGAGAAUCAAUUUUAGAUAGAAGUGUAUUCAUCAAAUGCCAGAAAUGCAAAGCAAGCCAUUGUGAAUAUGUGACAUGUUUC